GCCUCUUCAGUCUGCACCACUAAUUCUGAGUGUGAGAAAGUGUAUAGAAAAUGGGUUUAGCAAAAUGUCUGUAAAGGAAAAAUAGUACUUCAUUUUGUCCUAUUUGUAGUGAUUUCUCAAACCCUAUUAGAUUAAACAAUUUAGUUAAUAGACAUUUUUGCAUCCACAUUCCAACAUUAACACUACUGAAGUCCUGGUCUGGUGUCAGAUUUAAUAAAAUCAAGCUACCCCAUGUUUCAUGAUCACCUCCAAUAUAAUAAUUCCUAACAUUUUCAGCGGUUUAUCUAAAAUAUGGGCAAAAAUGUGCAUUUUUAUUUUUAUUUUGCAGAUGGUUUUCUAUAAAGUACAUUUUUACUAAGUCUGUGUGUGAAUGAUUUAAAAAACUACAGAAUAAGGUACAAAUGUGGUGUAUUUAAUAAACUGUCAACCAAAGCUGUAUUUGUCUGUUGAAAGAUUUUAUUUCAUAU
rnacentral:lncRNA from 1 species